GUACUCACUACAGCAGUAUAUAUACCAAAAUCGGAAUGGUACAGAGAACAUGAGCAUGGCCUCUGUGCAAGGAUGACCAAACAAAUAAGUUUGGUGCUAUAAUUAUUG